rnacentral:lncRNA from 1 species
UUUGGCAGUCGAAAGUGGCUCCGACGCAGCGGCGGGUGGCAGUUGCUCUCUUUCCCGGCAGUUGGGUCUUCUUCUCCGGCGAGGGUGUCUGGCGGUUAGGGUUAGGAUUUAGUGUGAAAAUGGUUAUUAAUAUCCGUCCCCUUUUAAUCCUGGCCAUCCAUUGUGUUUGAUCUAGACCGUUCGAUCGCGAUUAAAUAGAGAGUGAGUCUGGACCGUUCAUCACGAUCUAAUAUAGACCGUCCGAUCGCAUUUAAAUAAGAAGUAGAUUUGGACCGUUGAUCGCAUUUAAAUUUGACCAUCCAAUUGCAUUUGGGGAGGGAAUGUGCGAGAAUGAAUCUGAGCCCUCCGAUCACGGGCACGCUGAUCGCCCGCUUGGCCUCCCGCGUGGCAUCGCAUCAGCAUCCCUUGCCAUGCAGCGCGUUC